rnacentral:rRNA from 1 species
UACGUAGGGGGCAAGCGUUGUCCGGAAUCAUUGGGCGUAAAGAGCGUGUAGGCGGUUCGGUAAGUCCGCUGUGAAAGUCCAGGGCUCAACCCUGGAAUGCCGGUGGAUACUGCCUGGCUAGAGUCCGGAAGAGGCGAGUGGAAUUCCUGGUGUAGCGGUGAAAUGCGCAGAUAUCAGGAGGAACACCGAUGGCGAAGGCAGCUCGCUGGGACGGUACUGACGCUGAGACGCGAAAGCGUGGGGAGCAAACAGG